ncrna:unclassified sequences TwoGGAY RNA
UGAAGUUCAAUUGUGAUAGUUCUUAGGCUUUUCCUUAAUACACCAGCUAUCCACAGACACGGAUGUCUGUUGAAGUGAGAUAUGGGACAGGACGUCCCGUAUCGAACGGUAGCGGUCGAUGUUAUUACCUAUAUGAAAAGCCUUAGAAAUAUCCAAUUGAAGCUUC